rnacentral:rRNA from 1 species
AUAAUGUCGUAAGACUAAAGUGGGGGACUUUAAGGCCUCGCGCCAUGAGAUGAACCCAGAUGAGAUUAGCUAGUAGGUGCGGUAAUGGCGUACCUAGGCGACGAUCUCUAGCUGGUCUGAGAGGAUGACCAGCCACACUGGAACUGAGAGACGGUCCAGACUCCUACGGGAGGCAGCAGUGGGGAAUAUUGCACAAUGGGCGAAAGCCUGAUGCAGCCAUGCCGCGUGUGUGAAGAAGGCCUUAGGGUUGUAAAGCACUUUCAGCGGGGAGGAAGGAGGUAAGAGUAAUAUACUUAUCGAUUGACGUUACCCGCAAAAGAAGCACCGGCUAACUCCGUGCCAGCAGCCGCGGUAAUACGGAGGGUGCAAGCGUUAAUCGGAAUAACUGGGCGUAAAGGGCAUGUAGGCGGUAAGUUAAGUCAGAUGUGAAAUCCCCGAGCUUAACUUGGGAACGGCAUUUGAGACUGGCUGGCUAGAGUUUUGUAGAGGGGGGUAGAAUUCCAGGUGUAGCGGUGAAAUGCGUAGAGAUCUGGAGGAAUACCAGUGGCGAAGGCGGCCCCCUGGACAAGGACUGACGCUGAGGUGCGAAAGCGUGGGUAGCAAACAGGAUUAGAUACCCUGGUAGUCCACGCCGUAAACGAUG